AACGAACGCUGGCGGCAGGCUUAACACAUGCAAGUCGAACGCAUCGCAAGAUGAGUGGCAGACGGGUGAGUAACGCGUGGGAACAUACCCUUUUCUACGGAAUAGCUCUGGGAAACUGGGACUAAUACCGUAUACGCCCUACGGGGGAAAGGUUUAUCGGGGAAGGAUUGGCCCGCGUUGGAUUAGCUAGUUGGUGGGGUAAAGGCCUACCAAGGCGACGAUCCAUAGCUGGUCUGAGAGGAUGAUCAGCCACAUUGGGACUGAGACACGGCCCAAACUCCUACGGGAGGCAGCAGUGGGGAAUAUUGGACAAUGGGCGCAAGCCUGAUCCAGCCAUGCCGCGUGAGUGAUGAAGGCCUUAGGGUUGUAAAGCUCUUUCACCGAUGAAGAUAAUGACGGUAGUCGGAGAAGAAGCCCCGGCUAACUUCGUGCCAGCCGCCGCAGUAACAC
rnacentral:rRNA from 1 species